GGCAAUUUAGUUUAUUUAAAAUAUUGGUUUUGUAAUCCAAAGAGGAUACUAUCAUUUGCCU
rnacentral:tRNA from 1 species